CCAAUCACGGUGGGCGAGUCCAAUUCACAAAAAUGGGGGGGUGGACCUGAAGAAGUCCGCCAAAUCUUGGAAUCUUUCGCGCGCAAGCGGUCCACCCCUUUUCUCGAGCCCGCCCUAAUCCAGACAGAGAUACCUGACGUCACUUCCCCCCCCGCCUUGACGCUGCGGCCUGCUAUAGGGUUCUGAACCUACCCGGAGAGGUCGAGGCUCAGAGAGACUCGGAAGUUCUGGUUACCCUUGGCAACAAGACAUCCGGGUUCUUUCGUCCUCGGAGUGGAGCGAUUACUUCCGGUCUAGCUGGUCACCUAGGCAACGGGUCACUUGGUGGAGGCUUGUAGGAACCGAGGCGUCAUGGCGGAGGUGACAGCUCGGCCGUCUUUGCAGACAAACUGGAAACCACAAAUGCCUUUGGAAUAGCUGAAGUUGCUUUAUGGUCGACAAGGUGUAUUCCAUAUAACUGGAGUUUUAUUAGACUGCAUCCCUGCCAGCAGCAGCAGAACUUCCCAGAGCCAGAUCAGGAAGAGCAUUUCCCACAUCCAAUGUGGUAG
rnacentral:lncRNA from 1 species